GAAGGAUCAUUAUCGUACAAAAUGCUAGUGAGAGCGUGCAAGGGUUGUCGCUGACUUUUAACGCAAAAGUACGUGCACGCCGGGAGUGUGUCCUCUCACAUAAAACUGCCAUCUCACUCCUUUUGUGCACCACCGCGUGGGCACCCUUCGGGAUCGAACCGGUCCAGGAGGGGGCUUGCGUUUUCACACAAACCCCUUUUUAAAAGUGUAGAAUGACCCCAUUUUUGCGAUAACACGCAAUCAAUACAACUUUCAACAACGGAUCUACUUGGCUCUCGCAUCGAUGAAGAACGCAACGAAAUGCGAUACGUAAUGUGAAUUGCAGAAUUCAGUGAAUCAUCGAAUCUUUGAACGCACCUUGCGCCCCUUGGUAUUCCGAGGGGCACACCCGUUUGAGUGUCGUGAAAAUCUCAACCUUCUUGGUUUCUUCUGGACACCAAAGGAGGCUUGGACCUUGGAGGCCUUUGCUGGCGUCUCUCUCUUUUGAGAGCCAGCUCCUCUUAAAUGAAUUAGCGGGGUCCUCUUUGCUGGUGCCUCGACAUGUGAUAAGUAUGCUUCCAUGUACUAUGGUUUCUGGUCUCUGUUGCUUUUGGGAUCCGCUUGCUAACCGUACUCGACGAGCACAACGUUCGAGCGCGUCUCCCCUUCCUCGGGAGACCCUGCUCGCACCUCACGAACCCUUGACCUC
rnacentral:rRNA from 1 species